rnacentral:rRNA from 1 species
GAUGAACGCUGGCGGCGUGCUUAAUACAUGCAAGUCGAACGGAGACAUUAUAGCAAUAUGAUGUCUUAGUGGCGAACGGGUGAGUAACGCGUUGGUGACCUGCCCCGAAGUGGGGGAUAACAGCUCGAAAGGGCUGCUAAUACCUCAUGUGGUCAUGGCGCUUAGAAAGCCAUGUCGAAAGGUGCAAACCGCUCUGGGAGGGGCCUGCGUCCCAUCAGCUAGUUGGUAGGGUAAUGGCCUACCAAGGCGACGACGGGUAGGGGACCUGAGAGGGUCGACCCCCCA